AGGGUUGAUCCUGGCUCAGGAUGAACGCUAGCGGCAGGCUUAACACAUGCAAGUCGAGGGGUAACAGGAGAGCUUGCUCUCGCUGACGACCGGCGCACGGGUGAGUAACGCGUAUGCAACCUACCCAUAACUGGGGGAUAGCUUCCGGAAACGGAAAUUAAUACCCCAUAGUAUUAUAAUACCCCGCAUGGUAUAAUAAUUAAAGUUCCGACGGUUAUGGAUGGGCAUGCGUGCCAUUAGCUUGUUGGUGAGGUAACAGCUCACCAAGGCUAUGAUGGCUAGGGGGUCUUAAAGGAUGGUCCCCCACACUGGUACUGAGACACGGACCAGACUCCUACGGGAGGCAGCAGUGAGGAAUAUUGGUCAAUGGGCGCAAGCCUGAACCAGCCAUGCCGCGUGCAGGAAGACGGCCCUAUGGGUUGUAAACUGCUUUUAUAUAGGAAGAAAAUGUUCUACGUGUAGAGCACUGACGGUACUAUAAGAAUAAGCAUCGGCUAACUCCGUGCCAGCAGCCGCGGUAAUACGGAGGAUGCAAGCGUUAUCCGGAUUUAUUAGGUUUAAAGGGUGUGUAGGCGGAACUUUAAGUCAGUGGUGAAAUCUUUCGGCUCAACCGGAAAACUGCCAUUGAUACUGGAAUUCUUGAGUAUAGUUGAGGUAGGCGGAAUGUGUAAUGUAGCGGUGAAAUGCUUAGAUAUUACACAGAACACCGAUUGCGAAGGCAGCUUACUAAGCUAUUACUGACGCUGAUGCACGAAGCGUGGGGAGCGAACAGGAUUAGAUACCCUGGUAGUCCACGCCGUAAACGAUGAUUACUCGUUGUUGGCGAUAUAUGCAGUUGGAGACUAAGCGAAAGUGAUAAGUAAUCCACCUGGGGAGUACGAUCGCAAGGUUGAAACUCAAAGGAAUUGACGGGGGCCCGCACAAGCGGUGGAGCAUGUGGUUUAAUUCGAUGAUACGCGAGGAACCUUACCAGGGCUUAAAUGCAGAACGCAUACUGUGGAAACAUGGUAGUCUUCGGACGGUCUGCAAGGUGCUGCAUGGCUGUCGUCAGCUCGUGCCGUGAGGUGUUGGGUUAAGUCCCGCAACGAGCGCAACCCCUAUCUUUAGUUGCUAGUGAGUAAUGUCGGGGACUCUAAAGAAACUGCCUACGCAAGUAGAGAGGAAGGCGGGGACGACGUCAAGUCAUCACGGCUCCUACGUCCUGUGCCACACACGUGCUACAAUGGUAGAUACAGAGGGCAGCUACUCCGCGAGGAGAUGCGAAUCUCAAAAGCCGGUCUCAGUUCGGAUUGGAGUCUGCAACUCGACUCCAUGAAGCUGGAAUCGCUAGUAAUCGCGCAUCAGCCAUGGCGCGGUGAAUACGUUCCCGGGCCUUGUACACACCGCCCGUCAAGCCAUGGAAGCUGGGGGUGCCUGAAGUCGGUGACCGCAAGGAGCUGCCUAGGGUAAAACUAGUAACUGGGGCUAAGUCGGAACAAGGUAGCC
rnacentral:rRNA from 1 species